UGGCUAAUUUGGCAAGGGAAAGGGAAGUCGGGGGUCCCCUACUGGAACUGUUGCCCCUGGGACCCGUUCCCGGAUUAGUGGUUGAAGAUGAGUGAGAGAGUAUUAUUUGUGUAU